GACGAACGCUGGCGGCGUGCUUAACACAUGCAAGUCGAACGGAAAGGCCCUGCUUGCAGGGUGCUCGAGUGGCGAACGGGUGAGUAACACGUGGGUGAUCUGCCCCUUACUUUGGGAUAAGCCUGGGAAACUGGGUCUAAUACUGGAUAGGACCAUGCUGUAGGUGGUGUGGUGGAAAGAUUAGUUUCGGUAAGGGAUGAGCUCGCGGCCUAUCAGCUUGUUGGUGGGGUAAUGGCCUACCAAGGCGUCGACGGGUAGCCGGCCUGAGAGGGUGGACGGCAACAUUGGGACUGAGAUACGGCGCAGACUCCUACGGGAGGCAGCAGUGGGGAAGAUGGCAAAAUGGGCGCAAGCCUGAUGCAGCGACGCCGCGUGGGGGAUGACGGCCUUCGGGUUGUAAACUCCUUUCAGCCAUGACGAAGCCCUUGUGGUGACGGUAGUGGUAGAAGAAGCACCGGCUAACUACGUG
rnacentral:rRNA from 1 species